rnacentral:sRNA from 1 species
AAAGCCGAUAGGUGAGGCUCAUACAGGGAUACGGACUCCUGCCGCAAAAAGAUGGAGACAUCUUUCGCAGGUCAACAGGCGGCAUCGUCAAGGUGCAGCAUAACGCAGUUUCAUCGCCCUGUGAAGUCAAAGCUCAUACGGUG